AAAUUGAAGAGUUUGAUCAUGGCUCAGAUUGAACGCUGGCGGCAGGCCUAACACAUGCAAGUCGAACGGUAACAGGAAGCAGCUUGGCUGCUUUGCUGACGAGUGGCGGACGGGUGAGUAAUGUCUGGGAAACUGCCUGAUGGAGGGGGAUAACUACUGGAAACGGUGGCUAAUACCGCAUAACGUCGCAAGACCAAAGAGGGGGACCUUCGGGCCUCUUGCCAUCAGAUGUGCCCAGAUGGGAUUAGCUUGUUGGUGAGGUAACGGCUCACCAAGGCGACGAUCCCUAGCUGGUCUGAGAGGAUGACCAGCCACACUGGAACUGAGACACGGUCCAGACUCCUACGGGAGGCAGCAGUGGGGAAUAUUGCACAAUGGGCGCAAGCCUGAUGCAGCCAUGCCGCGUGUAUGAAGAAGGCCUUCGGGUUGUAAAGUACUUUCAGCGGGGAGGAAGGUGUUGUGGUUAAUAACCGCAGCAAUUGACGUUACCCGCAGAAGAAGCACCGGCUAACUCCGUGCCAGCAGCCGCGGUAAUACGGAGGGUGCAAGCGUUAAUCGGAAUUACUGGGCGUAAAGCGCACGCAGGCGGUCUGUCAAGUCGGAUGUGAAAUCCCCGGGCUCAACCUGGGAACUGCAUUCGAAACUGGCAGGCUUGAGUCUUGUAGAGGGGGGUAGAAUUCCAGGUGUAGCGGUGAAAUGCGUAGAGAUCUGGAGGAAUACCGGUGGCGAAGGCGGCCCCCUGGACAAAGACUGACGCUCAGGUGCGAAAGCGUGGGGAGCAAACAGGAUUAGAUACCCUGGUAGUCCACGCCGUAAACGAUGUCUACUUGGAGGUUGUGCCCUUGAGGCGUGGCUUCCGGAGCUAACGCGUUAAGUAGACCGCCUGGGGAGUACGGCCGCAAGGUUAAAACUCAAAUGAAUUGACGGGGGCCCGCACAAGCGGUGGAGCAUGUGGUUUAAUUCGAUGCAACGCGAAGAACCUUACCUGGUCUUGACAUCCACAGAACUUUCCAGAGAUGGAUUGGUGCCUUCGGGAACUGUGAGACAGGUGCUGCAUGGCUGUCGUCAGCUCGUGUUGUGAAAUGUUGGGUUAAGUCCCGCAACGAGCGCAACCCUUAUCCUUUGUUGCCAGCGGUCCGGCCGGGAACUCAAAGGAGACUGCCAGUGAUAAACUGGAGGAAGGUGGGGAUGACGUCAAGUCAUCAUGGCCCUUACGACCAGGGCUACACACGUGCUACAAUGGCGCAUACAAAGAGAAGCGACCUCGCGAGAGCAAGCGGACCUCAUAAAGUGCGUCGUAGUCCGGAUUGGAGUCUGCAACUCGACUCCAUGAAGUCGGAAUCGCUAGUAAUCGUGGAUCAGAAUGCCACGGUGAAUACGUUCCCGGGCCUUGUACACACCGCCCGUCACACCAUGGGAGUGGGUUGCAAAAGAAGUAGGUAGCUUAACCUUCGGGGGGGGCGCUUACCACUUUGUGAUUCAUGACUGGGGUGAAGUCGUAACAAGGUAACCGUAGGGGAACCUGCGGUUGGAUCACCUCCUUA
rnacentral:rRNA from 1 species